rnacentral:tRNA from 2 species
GUAUCCGUAGCUCAGUCGGUAGAGCAAUUGACUCUUAAUCAAUGGGUCGUGGGUUCGAAUCCCACCGGGUAUA